AGGUUGAUAUUCCUGUACCACCUCUUUAUCGUUUGAGCAAUGGAGGGACGCAGAAGGAUAGAAGAAGCGUGCGAUUGGUUGUGCACGUCCAAGCAGUUAGGCUGAUAAGUAGGCAAAUCCGCUUAUCCCGUAUGCUGAGCUGUGAUGGGGAAGCUCCUUAUGGAGCGAAGUCUUUGAUUCCCCGCUGCCAAGAAAAGCUUCUAGCGAGAUAAAAGGUGCCUGUACCGCAAACCGACACAGGUAGGCGAGGAGAGA
rnacentral:rRNA from 1 species